AGAGUUUGAUCCUGGCUCAGGACGAACGCUGGCGGCGUGCUUAACACAUGCAAGUCGAACGAUGAAGCCCAGCUUGCUGGGUGGAUUAGUGGCGAACGGGUGAGUAACACGUGAGUAACCUGCCCUUGACUCUGGGAUAAGCGUUGGAAACGACGUCUAAUACCGGAUACGAGCUUCCACCGCAUGGUGAGUUGCUGGAAAGAAUUUUGGUCAAGGAUGGACUCGCGGCCUAUCAGCUUGUUGGUGAGGUAACGGCUCACCAAGGCGACGACGGGUAGCCGGCCUGAGAGGGUGACCGGCCACACUGGGACUGAGACACGGCCCAGACUCCUACGGGAGGCAGCAGUGGGGAAUAUUGCACAAUGGGCGAAAGCCUGAUGCAGCAACGCCGCGUGAGGGACGACGGCCUUCGGGUUGUAAACCUCUUUUAGCAGGGAAGAAGCGAAAGUGACGGUACCUGCAGAAAAAGCACCGGCUAACUACGUGCCAGCAGCCGCGGUAAUACGUAGGGUGCAAGCGUUGUCCGGAAUUAUUGGGCGUAAAGAGCUCGUAGGCGGUUUGUCGCGUCUGCUGUGAAAUCCCGAGGCUCAACCUCGGGUCUGCAGUGGGUACGGGCAGACUAGAGUGCGGUAGGGGAGAUUGGAAUUCCUGGUGUAGCGGUGGAAUGCGCAGAUAUCAGGAGGAACACCGAUGGCGAAGGCAGAUCUCUGGGCCGCUACUGACGCUGAGGAGCGAAAGGGUGGGGAGCAAACAGGCUUAGAUACCCUGGUAGUCCACCCCGUAAACGUUGGGCGCUAGAU
rnacentral:rRNA from 1 species